rnacentral:rRNA from 1 species
ACUCCUACGGGAGGCAGCAGUGGGGAAUUUUUCGCAAUGGGGGCAACCCUGACGAAGCAAUGCCGCGUGGAUGAUGAAGUAUUUCGGUACGUAAAAUCCUUUCGACAGGGACGAAACCGCAAGGUUGACGGUACCUGUAGAAGAAGCCCCGGCUAACUCCGUGCCAGCAGCCGCGGUAAUACGGGGGGGGCAAGCGUUGUUCGGAAUUACUGGGCGUAAAGGGUGCGUAGGCGGCUUUCUAAGUUGAAUGUGAAAACUCUGGGCUUAACCCAGAGCCUGCAUCCAAAACUGGCAAACUUGAGUACUGGAGGGGAAAGCGGAAUUCCUGGUGUAGCGGUGAAAUGCGUAGAUAUCAGGAGGAACACCGGUGGCGAAGGCGGCUUUCUGGACAGUAACUGACGCUGAGGCGCGAAAGCUAGGGGAGCAAACAGGAUUAGAUACCCUGGUAGUCCUAGCCCUAAACGAUGGAUACUUGGUGUGAGGGGGAUUGAAUCCCUUCGUGCCGUAGCUAACGCAAUAAGUAUCCCGCCUGGGGAGUACGGUCGCAAGGCUGAAACUUAAAGGAAUUGACGG